rnacentral:siRNA from 1 species
AGAUGUCAUGUGUAUGAUUGAAUA